CGAGCUAAGCAUUUCUUUUCGUUGAAUCACUCAAUUUCAAUGCUUCGUUAUUUUUUUUUUCUAGCAAAAUGGUUGAAUAAGCUAGUUCUUAUAGGAUGUUAUUAGUUCACGUGAUAACUCCGUGGAUUUAGUUCAGAGGUAGGCUUAAUAUGACUUGAAAUCAACUGAUAACUUCGUGGAUUUAGGUUAAAAUGGUAUGUGAUGAUGUUGUUAAUAAGUUUACUUUUCUGAAAUUUGUAUGGAUCCAUCAUGGAAAACUCUCUAUAGCUUGAUGUUUGAAGAUAUCUCUGUGCUUGGUUAAUCUGCUAAUUCUUAGUGGGUGCUUAAAUUUUUAAUGAUUCAGGUUGUUGAAAGUCAUAUCCAGCUACUUAACAGGUUUGGAGAGAGAGAGCUUCUUGGGAAGUUUGAAUUAGUUUUGGUUAUUGAAUAUCUCAAUGUAUCCUACUCCAAAUAUCCAAAAAACAGUGCAAUACAUAUGUUAUAUACUGAAAUUGGCAUAGUUUCUUGCAUCAAUCUGACUGGCUUGAAAUGAUAUAAUCUAAUGUCCCUAUUAGUCCCUAUUAGGAGGAAUUCAUGCCAAGCACAACAAUUAUAUUCCACUCAAACUUUGACUUGAUAUAACUCUUAUACAUGUUAAUAUCAUCAUAGAACCAAUAGUAGCUUAAUCGUUGCUUUUAAAUAGACUAAAGAAAUUACUAUAUCAAAGGCUUAUAUGCCAUUUGUUUGACUAAUUCACCAUUAAAAGCUAGAAACUACCGGAUCAAGUUAGAAAAUGAGAUGCUAAUAGGAAGUUUAACAUACUUUCACCAUUUAGAUGCUCUAUUCAUUUUUGCUGCAUCUGCUACUCAAUCUCAGUUGUAUCGUAAUAUGUUAGUGGAAGCCUUGCUGUAUGUUAGUCGUAACUGAAUAUUACCAAUUCCUAGAGAUGUUUGAUGGUAUAUCAUUGAGACCAGCUUGUUCAGGAGUGUUUGAUGCACAAGUUUAUGCAUUGUCAGUCGUCCUGCAGUCCCUGUAAGUAAAUAAUUUUUACUUACCUAUGGUUUUCCUUGAAAAUUCAAAUGUAUGAUUCUCUUAUACCUUUGUUGAUUAGAAAAACAUGUUUCUUACAUUUGAAUGUAUUGUAGCAGAUAGUAAGGAUUCUGAAUUCAUAUGCCUGUCUUCCAAAAAGUCCUACUUUAGAUUUAAGAAUAAAGAGCAAAUUUGCUUCUGAACUUUUUGAAUGGGGUAAUUUCCCUUUAACUUCUUAAAGGGAAAGAUUGCUUACACACUUAUUGUUUUUGUUUCUCGAUACGUUUUACAAAUACAUAAACAUCUGAAAUCUAAAUUUAGUUAGAUUCAUGUUCACAAUUUAUUUCUACUUAUGCAUAUAGAAACGGAUCCAAAUAAAGAAACAAAAUCAAAAAGUGUUUCCAAAUGGGGUACUCUUUAAAUUACAGCAAAUUAUAUCUACAUCCUGCUCUUAAUGUUUCUAUCAAAAGUAAAAAAUUACAUCAGUGUUUAUUUUCAACAAAUUGUUUUCUUUCUUAAAACCCAUUUUUCAAUGAAAAUAUUGCAGACAGGAUAACUGACAGUUGCUAAAGAAAAACAAUUAUGGGUAAUUAAGCCUAUUUUCAUUAAUUUCUCUUGGCCUUUCAACCUUGUUUGAUGUAGGAUUUGUUUGAAAUAAAUACCAAGGUAAAAGUGGAUUGUUUGGGGAUUAUUUAGCUUAAAUAACUAAUAUAUUUUGGUUGAUGAUUUGAUUGAUGAUGGGAUAAUGAGUUAUUUGGAUAUAUGUUUGGUCAUGAUUAUGGGUCAGUAGAUCUCCUGCAUGCAGUUAAAGAAUUGUUUUAUUUUAUUUUUUCUGCAGCCAGGUUAGUUUACAUGAGAAUGAAUUGAGUAUCUUCAAGUUUCUACAUACUGUUAUUAGUUUGUACAGAAGUUCCUCAGACGAUGCAAUGAGAGAACAAUAUCGCAACCUUCUGAGUGAAACUGUAGUUAUCAUCUCAAUGAUUACAAAUCUAUAUUCAUCUAAUGGAAUAUAAGACUUGAUUAUGUAGUUAAAGAAGCUCUUCAUCUCCAUGCCAGCAGAAUCAGAUACCAGGCUCUACGAAUGCAAGCCCAGUCUAGCUGCUUUCAUGGCUUGUACUGGUCACGUCGAUUUAUCCGAAAACGUAAACUGCGUAGAGAUGUCAGCUCUAUCAGAAUUGUAUCACAUGUUACUAACUAAUAGAGUGACUGGGCAUUCACACAUUUGGCAAUUGUAUGCGUUGGAUACUUUGCAGCAUGAACUUUGUGCAAUCAGUUGUGGAGAAUCAUGCCUGAAGAUGCUGCACUUUCAUUUGAUUUGGAGUCCGGAAAGGAGGUGAAUGAAGAGAAAUUCAUGUCGGAGUUGAAAGCAAUGCUUGAGAAGGAAAGAGCUGUUGCGGAAUUUCAGCCAGUUCUGUGCAGCUUUGUAUGGUUGCAAAGGAGGGGAUGUUGCUUAAAAUGAUAGCGAAAAAGAAUUAUAAUCCUGUCAUUACGGAUUUAAGAUAUGAAAAGAUGGAGAUCGAUCAUAGCGAAGAACAGUGUAAAAAGAGGAGGAAGCUUCCUGAUGGAAUUAGGCAUGGGAUGGAGCUGUUGCGGAAUGGGUUGAAAGUUAAAGGGGAUGGUAUCUCUAUGUUGGAGCAAAAUGUCGAAUUUCAUGACAAGUUCCUCGCUCAUGUUUCUCGAUUAGAUGAUGCAAUUGGGCAGUUAGCAGAAUAUGAUAUAUGCUCUUGCUUAAACACUCUCCAGUUUUUGCACAAGAAGAAAGAAGCCCUGAAUGUGACUGGCGUAUGCCGCGGCAACCAACAGGCGACCGCGACCGACCUUCUUCUUCAUUAGCGUCUUCAUCAACUGUUUGCUUUCUUGUUUCCUCAUUGACGGGUCUUCUCCAUCAUUUGUUCUUCUUACAUCUUAUAGGAAGGCGAAACAAGGCUGCGUAGGUUAAUGUUUCUAGAACUGUAAGAUGGGGAUAGAGAACAUUGUCCUGCGAAACGAAUCCGAUCUUCCGUUUCAUUGAUCCGGUGAAAGGGCGUUCGUUGUAGGUAAUAGUACCGGAGAUUUUUCCGGCGAUGUAACGGCCGGAAAGUGUAGUGAGGAGUGUGGUUUUUCCACUGCCGGAUGGGCUUGCAUAGCCAUGAGUUCGCCUGGUUUGACCAUUCCUGUGACCCCGUUGAGUACGGUCUUGGUGGAUUUCGGUGAAGAAGAGAGGUUAAUUGUGUAGGCCACAUCUUGAAAGUAUAGAGAAAUUGUAAAUUAGUUUUGAAAAUGUAUGAAUUAGAGAAAUAGUAAAGUAAAGAUUGUACAUUUAGGGUG